UCGAACGGCAGCGCGGGAGUAAUCCUGGCGGCGAGUGGCGAACGGGUGAGUGAUAUCGACGCGGAACGUGCCAAAUCGUGGGGGAUAACGCAGCGAACGCUGUGCUGAUAUCCCGCAUACGAUCUACGGAUGAACGCAGGGGACCGCAAGGCCUUGCGCGAAUGGAGUGGCCGAUGGCAGAUUAGGUAGUUGGUGGGGUAACGGCUCACCAAGCCAACGAUCUGUAGCUGGUCUGAGAGGACGACCAGCCACACUGGGACUGAGACACGGCCAAGACUCCUACGGGAGGCAGCAGUGGGGAAUUUUGGACAAUGGGCGCAAGCCUGAUCCAGCCAUGCCGCGUGCAGGAUGGAGGCCUUCGGGUUGUAACCUGCUUUUGUACGGAACGAACAGUCUCUUUCUGAUAUCACGAGGGAUCAUGACGGUACCGUGAGGAUAUCAGCACCGGCUAACUACGUGCCAGCAGCCGCGGUGAUAUCCGUAGGGUGCAAGCGUUAAUCGGAAUUACUGGGCGUAACGCGUGCGCAGGCGGUGAUGUAAGACAGUUGUGAACUCCACGGGCUCAACCUGGGAACUGCAUCUGUGACUGGACGCGCUGGAGUGCGGCAGAGGGGGAUGGAAUUCCGCGUGUAGCAGUGAACUGCGUAGAUAUGCGGAGGAACACAUGGCGAACGCAAUCCACUGGGCCUGCACUGACGCUCAUGCACGAACGCGUGGGGAGUAACCAGGAUUAGAUACCAUGGUAGUCCACGCCAUAACCGAUG
rnacentral:rRNA from 1 species